AGAGGCUUAGGAUAAUAAGACCAAGGGCCUUCAAAGCCCUAAGUGGGAGUUAGAAUCUCCCAGCCUCUG
rnacentral:tRNA from 1 species